rnacentral:rRNA from 1 species
GAUGAACGCUGGCGGCGUGCCUAAUACAUGCCAGUCGAGCGAACAGACGAGGAGCUUGCUCCUUUGACGUUAGCGGCGGACGGGUGAGUAACACGUGGGUAACCUACCUAUAAGACUGGGAUAACUUCGGGAAACCGGAGCUAAUACCGGAUAAUAUUUCGAACCGCAUGGUUCGAUAGUGAAAGAUGGCUUUGCUAUCACUUAUAGAUGGACCUGCGCCGUAUUAGCUAGUUGGUAAGGUAACGGCUUACCAAGGCAACGAUACGUAGCCGACCUGAGAGGGUGAUCGGCCACACUGGAACUGAGACACGGUCCAGACUCCUACGGGAGGCAGCAGUAGGGAAUCUUCCGCAAUGGGCGAAAGCCUGACGGAGCAACGCCGCGUGAGUGAUGAAGGUCUUCGGAUCGUAAAACCCUGUUAUUAGGGAAGAACAAACGUGUAAGUAACUGUGCACGUCUUGACGGUACCUAAUCAGAAAGCCACGGCUAACUACGUG